rnacentral:rRNA from 1 species
UACGUAGGGGGCAAGCGUUGUUCGGAUUUAUUGGGCGUAAAGAGCGUGUAGGCGGCCUGGUAGGUCAGCUGUGAAAACUCGAGGCUCAACCUCGAGACGCCGGUUGAAACCAUCAGGCUAGAGUCCGGAAGAGGAGAGUGGAAUUCCCGGUGUAGCGGUGAAAUGCGCAGAUAUCGGGAAGAACACCCGUGGCUAAGGCGGCUCUCUAGUACGGUACUGACGCUGAGACGCGAAAGCGUGGGGAGCGAACAGG